rnacentral:rRNA from 1 species
AAAUUGAAGAGUUUGAUCAUGGCUCAGAUUGAACGCUGGCGGCAGGCCUAACACAUGCAAGUCGAACGGUAACAGGAAGAAGCUUGCUUCUUUG